GAAUGUUGAAGUAACAUGUUACCUUUAGAAGCCCUCAACAACAACACCACCAACAAAAAGAUAUAUGUUGGAUCAAGUUCACCUUUUGAAUAUGCAUUCACAGCUCUUUCUGAAGUUAGUGGUGUUUGGCUUGUACUACAGAACAGAAUCUGCCACGAAACUUUUAAGGAGGUCAUCUUCUCUGAAACUUGGGUGGAGAAGGAACAAGGAAGACUAGCACCAUGUAAGAUAACACUCAAAGUAAAGUUGGAGGAAGAAGAGGAAAUCUGGCUCAUGAUGACAUCAGCCUUUGAAGUUUCCUACCAUGAGUACCAUAUGAAUUGAAGCAAUCCGACUUAAACAUUGCCAUUAUUUUCAUGGGUCUAAAUGUUAUUGGUUAAAUGCAGCUAAAGAAGGAUCACUGAAUGCAUUGCUGAAUUGUGUGGCCACAUGAAGGUAAAUCCCAUUGAUUUAUCAUGUUUGCUUUUAACUAACAAUAAGGAUCAAGGCUUAAAGUUCAUGGAGUGACCACGGGAUUCAUAUGAAAUAUGAUACCCUCGGUCAUCAAAGGCUGUUUCCUUACACAGGAAUCUAUUGCUACUUAUGGCCAAGGAAAACUCAAAGUGUACCUAUUAUGCCCUGAUUAUAGGUAGCAAAUGAUGUACCCAGUUCAAUACCAACAAUUUCAUCACCAGAUUCAUGGCAUGUUCCUCAGCUGUUAGCUGCCUCCUCUUCUUCUCCCCCUUCCAUUGAUCCACCUAGGUUUUUCCAAGACCUAUCUGGAGACCCCUUCACACCACAUAAUUAUUAUAGCACUAUAAUUCCACUUUAUCUGUCCUGGUUCCAUCCUAUGAAAUCCUUGGACUGGCAGUUUAAGAUGGAGAGCUCUUGUGCCUCACCAGGAUACAAACCUAUGGAAUCCAUAAAAUGUAGCCACAGUACUUAAAAGGGAAUCAUGGUGUAGUGUGGAAGGGCCCCUGGUAAACUUCUGUCCUAUUGUGGCUUUUGUUUAGCUUCUGAAAUCAGUUAAGAUUUGUUUGUUUGAGGUAAUAAUGUAAGUAUGAGAGUUUCUUGCAUGUGUCUUGAUUAAUGAGCUUAUAUGGAGUGUGACCUGACACCUCUUGAUGCAUUUAUUUAUUUAUUUAUUUAUUUACAGUCUUUAUAGUCCGUCCUUCUCACCCCGAAGGGGACUCAGGGCGGAUUACAAUGAACACGUAUAUGACAAACAUUCAAUGCCAACAGACAAACAACAUACAGUAUAGACAGACACAGAGGCAUUUAAUAUUUUUCCAGCUUCACGAUUCCGGCCACAGGGGAAGCUGUUGCUUCACCGUCCACUAGUGGCUGUACUUCCUCAUUCCUUUCCUCGUGUUUUGCUGGCAGUUUGAUGGUGUUGUAAAUUAGUUAAAUUUGCCUCCCACAUAAAGCAUACCUAAAUUUCCCUACUUGACAGAUGCAACUGUAUUUCGGGGCUGCAUAGGUCAACAGCAAGCCGGGCUAUUUAAUGGUCGGGGGCUUAACCCGACCUGGGCUUCGAACUCAGUGGUGAUUUAUUGCAGCUGGUUACUAGGCAGCAGCACCACAUCCCGGCCCUUUCAUAAUAAGAUCCAUCAUCUCAACCAUUGUCCAUGAUGGGCAUGAUGGAAUAAACAACCCAAAGAGUUGGAAAUUGGGGGAGUCUAUCUAAUGCAGUUUGAGGGAAAUAUCCUCAACUUGGCAACUGAACAGAUUUUUCCUUCCUACUUUAGAUUCAGGUAAUUAAUGGUUGCUACACUGAUAAUAAUAAUAAUAAUAAAACUUUAUUUAUACCCCGCCACCAUCUCCCCAACGGGGACUCGGGGCGGCUUACAUGGGGCCAUGCCCAAAACCAUACAAUAUGACAGAAUAUAAAACAACAUAUCAUAACACAAUUUAACAAUACAAUAAAUAAUAACAUACAUUACAACCCAAAAUUCAGAAAAAGCAAUAAAAACCAGGGCAGGCCACAUGAACACUAAGUUAAAACUCGGUGAGAAAGACAUAUGAAUAAAACCACGAGGAGCAGGGACAUAAAAUAGUGGAACAGUCUAGAGGAUAGAUAUCCCAAGUAGCAGUUCAUCGGAAGAAGCCAAGCCUACAUAGUUUCCCUUUGUGGGCUUUUGGGUAAGGGUUUCCACAUUGCAUUAUUUUGCAGUCCUGAUCAGCAACUAGUUUUACUGUAAGUAGAAGAUGAAUGCAUGAAUGAAUUCAUUCCAAAUCUCUAGUCAAAGAUUUCACCACUCCAAUUAGUGUUGCAAAAUAGGAACUGACAAAUGUCACUCCAUGCAAUUUUUAAAAAGCUAUAGGUACUCUUUGGUGCUAUUACAGCUGUGAGCAAUACUACCUGGAAUUAUAAAAAAGGAAAUGGGGGAAUAUUGGUACUACAGUGCCUGGAAAUGCUUCAUUCAUUCAUUCCCCUUAAUUUGUCUCCUGAGUUUGCUGGAUAUCAAUUCUUGAAACCAAGAAACAGUGCACAUUAGGUCUGAAUGGGAAUUUCAGUUCCAGCCUCCUUGGUCCCAUUCAGCACUUGACACAUUCUGCCACACUAAAAGGGUCUUCAAAAGCAAAGUGAGUGCUUCAUUCAAUUUCACAGAUGUUCUCAAGGGCCACAUUUUAGUUCUGCAUGGGGCAAAAGGCUGGAACACAAGGCUCAGUUUAUUUUAGCUUAAAGCUCCUUCUGCCAGUAACUAAGCUAUAGGGGAGACAUCUCAAUCUUUAGAAUGGUCCCCCUCCCAGUCUUUUAAAGAUGGGAAACCACUAUCUGAUACUGCCUCUGGGGAAACCUAAGAGGGCUGAAUGUCCCCAGGUCUACAUUUUCCCAGCUUGUUCUUAAUGACUAAUAGUAAGGUUGUUUCCCUCUGCCGCC
ensembl:lncRNA